GGCGCGGAUGACAUGACCCCGCGCUCAGACGUAAAGCCCACUCUUUUUCCCGCGCGUGUAUUAUACUCGUCUCCCUACCAUUGCCGACUGUCGGAGGUCCUUUUCACAUCCCUACAUCUCCGGCAACGGCAUAUUCUUCCUUUUUCUCUCAGAUCUCUCUCUCUUAAAUUUAUCCACCAGUCUCCAUCAUUUAUCUGUUGAAUCCAUUAAUUUCUCUUAGUAUCAUACUUCCUUUUUUAAAUUUUGUUAGAUCCUCUGCGGAUUCUUCCCUCCUUGUUUGAAUCAUUUAUUGCAGCCGGUGGUUCAUUUCAAUGUCUCGGACACUUUUGGUUUUGAUUGUGUGUCUGAGUGCGUUGAGGUUUGGAACUUCGUUGGGAUCGCGUUCGAUCCUUAGAACGGUUGCUGAUAAGAACGGGGAUUCUGAAGACUACGCCAUUGAUUUGAACGCCACCAAUUUCGAUGCGGUUUUUAGGGAUGCUCCAGCCACCUUUGCAGUCGUUGAAUUCUUUGCUCACUGGUGCCCUGCUUGCAGAAACUAUAAGCCCCAUUAUGAAAGAGUUGCGAGGCUUUUCAAUGGACCUAAUGCUGUGCACCCAGGGAAAGUAUUAAUGACAAGAGUUGACUGCGCUUUGAAGAUGAAUACCAAUCUCUGUGAUAAAUUUUCGGUGGGUCACUUUCCUAUGCUCUUUUGGGGUCCUCCUUCCAACUUUGUGUCUGGUAGUUGGAAUCCUAAGGAAGAGAAAAGUGAAAUUCGUAACAUUGAUGAUGGACGGACUGCUGAAAAGUUACUAAAUUGGAUGAACAAGCAAAUGGGCAGCUCAUAUGGCUUGGAUGACCAAACAUUUGAAAAUGAGCACCUGUCAUCCAAUAUCUCAGAUCCAGGACAGAUUGCUCGAGCAGUCUAUGAUGUUGAGGAGGCAACAUCCACUGCCUUUGAUAUUAUCUUGGAACGCAAGAUGAUCAAGUCUGAAACUCGAGCACCCCUUAUAAAAUUUCUUCAACUUCUGGUGGUUCAUCAUCCUUCUGUGAGGUGUCGAAGAGGUAGCGCUGAGAUACUUGUAAACUUCGACGAGUUGAGCCUUGCAGAUAUGAAACAAGAAGAGGUUGCUAGUGAAAAAGGUGCAGUUAAAAACUUUCAAAUAUGUGGAAAAGAUGUUCCUCGUGGAUAUUGGAUUUUCUGCCGUGGUAGCAAGAACGAUACGAGGGGAUUUAGUUGUGGAUUAUGGGUUCUACUGCAUUCUCUUUCUGUGAGAAUUGAGGACGGAGAAAGCCAGUUUGCGUUCACAGCUAUAUGCGAUUUCAUCCGUAACUUCUUUGUUUGCGAGGAAUGUCGUCAGCACUUUCACGAAAUGUGUUCGAGUGUGUAUAGUCCUUUCAACAAAGCUCGUGACUUUGCCCUCUGGUUGUGGAGGGCACACAACAAAGUCAAUGAAAGAUUAUUAAAAGAAGAAGAAUCCAUGGGAACCGCAGACCCGAAAUUUCCCAAGAUGAUCUGGCCUCCGCCGCAACUUUGCUCAUCUUGCUAUCGCUCUCACAGCAGCAAGCAGAUAAAAUGGGACGAGAAUGUAGUACAUAAAUUCUUGACCAACUACUAUGGUAAAAUGCUUGUAUCUCUGUACAAAAGCAACAGUUCUCUUGGGAAUGUUGUUGUCGAUGGGGCACUCGACGAGUUAGCGACAUCAACAAACGCAGUUGCAGUCCCGGUGGGGGCUGCUUUGGCAAUUGCUCUUGCAAGUUGUGCCUUCGGAGUUCUUGCUUGUUACUGGCGUUCGCAGCAGAAGAGUCGGAAGUAUUACCACCAACGACAUUCUUUAAAGAAAUAUGAUUAUUAGGAGAGGGUAAUUGGCUCUUUCAAAAAGACUUAAAAAGCAUAUAAUAAGGGAAAGAAACAAAAAAAAUGAAAGGCCAAGGAGAAGCUCGGAGCUGAAGUUUUGUGAAGGAUAUGACUCAACAGAAGUAAAAUAAUGAAGAAGCUCUGGAGAUUUGGAGCAUUCAACCGUCUAAGAUGAGGUUUGUUGGGCAUUUUCAAUUCAAUUCGAUUCAAUUCAAUUCCGUGCAUCACACAGUGACCAUACAAAUACGUAUCAUGAACUAAUUUUCGAGUUCAAAUCAUUCGAAAUUUGCUUUUUUUGUUCCUUUUUCUUUGCUUUCAAAGUGACAUAAAGCUUAAACUUGGUUGCUCCAAAGAGAUAGGAGAAAUAUAGAGAAGCAUAUGUAACUUAUAGCAUAUCUGAGGCUUUAAAUAAUUUGUUUGAUUGGCUUUUGGCUUUUGGACACACAGCUUCUUCAAUAUGGUAUUUAGAUUCAUUGUAGCCUUUGAUAAUUAAGUUUGUUUAAACCUUUUUGAAA